rnacentral:tRNA from 1 species
UGGAUGGCGGAAUGGUAGACGCGACGGACUCAAAAUCCGUUUCCCCUUAAAGGAGUGAGGGUUCAAGUCCCUCUCUAGG